CAGGUUAGAGCUUGAUAAGCGUUUUAUUUACAUUAAAAAGAUACUGUAAAUUCAGUUGGCUUGA
rnacentral:tRNA from 1 species